AUGCGUGUAAGAAUCUUUUCUACUAGUAGUAUAUUUCCUUUGUACUCCACAGCCGUGCAAACUAGAGAAAAGAAAACUGAAAAAGAUGGAUGGAUGGAUGGAUUUUACAAUGGCGAUCUUGGUCAAAUCGAAUCAUUCAUUCCCCACUCGCCGUGCACAUCAACAACGGCCCGUUCUUUCCGCGAGCGCCGACGGCGGCAACAGCGGCAGGGGAGCGCGCCGUCUCGCUUUCGCACCGGUGGGCCGUGCCGACUUGCAAACAGUGUGUUCUUCUGUUCAACUUCUGACCAAAACUUCUCUGUUUUUUGUUUUUGUUUGUUUGGAUGGACGGAUAUGUGA
rnacentral:rRNA from 1 species